GUACUCUCACACUCUCUAAUCCUUUGGGUUUGGGGAGCGGUGGACUUGGGUGCUUGCUGCUUUCCUUGUGGCUCACCUCAAAUGCGUCAGUGCAUCUCUUGAUUGGACAUAGUACGGCGUGAUAAGUGUCUUCGCCGGCACCUCAUGAGAGGGUGGCCGAUUGGGAGCUCUGUGCUUCAUAAACCGUCUUCGGACAAUCUCUGACA
rnacentral:misc_RNA from 1 species